UUUGGCGUUCCCUUCAUGGAGACCAGUGCUAAAUCAGGCCUGAAUGUGGAGUUGGCCUUCACUGCUGUGGCCAAGGAACUGAAGCACAGGGAGAUGAAGGAGCCUAACGAGCCAAAGUUUCAGCUGCAGGAGUAUGUUAACAAGGAGAUGAAGGGAGUCGGCUGCUGUCGCUCCUAAACCCCCCUCUCUCUCUGUUUGUGUGUUUUUCCACUUUCAUCCUCUUCUCUCGCAUAAAUUGGAUGCCUGUCAGAUAUUCUGCGGCUCUGGAGACUUUCAUUUUCAAAUGCUGUGCUCGUUCUUUGGACCUCCAUGCACUUCACAGCUCACAAACAAUAGCGAAUGACACGAAGCAAACAGAGAAGCAGUCAUCAGAAUGCGAUUGGCACGUCCUUAAAUAUUUGCACCCCCAAUAAACACAGACCCACCUCUCCGAGCAGCUGUGAAUGUAUGUUCAACACUCAUGAAGUUUG